UUUUACUCUGCUGUACUUUUCGAUAUCUUUUCUGGUAUUAUUUAUGUGAAUAGUUCGCGUUAAAAAUGAAUAGUCCUAAUUGCAGAGAUAACAAUUGUAAAAGCCCAAAUAUUCAAGUAAGAAAAUUGUCAAGUAAUGCUUGGAAUACAAUUCGAUCACAUCCCUUGUUCUGCGCCACUCGUAGCGCUUAUGGAAAAGCAAAGAGAUCCCCUGUUAUAGGUGAGACAUGCCAAAUAGCAGAAAAAGCUACAUACUCUUUACUUCAGUAUAUCAUUGCUAUCUAUUUGGUUAUUAAUGAUAGGUUUCGCCUUGAGGAUCGGGCCGAUAGAAUAAUAACUAUGUGCUUUGAAUCAGCUACAAUUGUUCGUAAAAACACCGGCUUUGAUUUAGGAGCAUUUAUUGCAUACCUCAUUAACAUGAAUUUGGGAAUAAUGAGGCUUCUUGCUAAGUGUUUAAUGGAAAUCUCUAAUAUGGUUUUUCAAAUUCUACAUGCUACUAUUGGCGCAAUAUUAAUAGUACUGGAAUCCGUUAACCGUUGUAUUGACUAUGUCAGAUUCCAUUCAAUCUCUGAUUCAAUGAAAUGCAGCAUGAACUUAAUGAAGGAUAUGGUGAAUCAGGUGGCGGACCAAACAUCUGAAUUAUCGAAAUAUUGGAAAAUGGACGUAUUUCCCUUUUUUAAUCGACCAAAGAGACAUCAGCCAUAGGAUGGUCAACCAAUACAAAAUAUGUAGUUUCAAGAAAAUAUAAAAAUAGGCUUUUCAGCUUUAUAAGUAGUAUCUUUGCCUUUUGUAUUAAUAAAUAAUAACAUCACAUCAGAGGGCAUACUCUAGAGAAGCAUCCACAUUCUGUAUUAUUUUUUCCGUCAACCAGAUCUUUCUUUUCUUCCACACUACCCUCACUGAUAUCUUUUUGAAGUAUGCUUCUUUGCUCUUUUAAUUGACUGAGAACCUUGUUCAAAUCACCAAAUUUAAUAUCUACAUGGUUGAGCACAUCCUGCUCAGGAAUGCUAAUCUUGGCAUUCGUAACAGAUGAAGUUCCCGAUAAUUGCGAGAAUUUACUUUGAAUCUCUAACGGUGCGUGAAAAAUCAUUGCAGUAGCUUUGGCUGCCAUGCUGUUGGCUCUUCGAAUGGCCUCCUCGGAGGCGAUCAGCCGGUUGUUGAGGCCCUCGAUUUCAUUUCUUAGCUUACAAAUUUCUUCUGCUUUGACUUCAAUUUCUGCUUUUAAAGCGGUAACGGUGUUCUGAACAUCCGAAGAAGAAAAGCCUUCCUUAUCGCAUUCCGCCUCUACAACACCAGAUUUCGAAAGAUAUGAUUGUGAUUGAACCUCUCCUUUUUUCUCCUUGCUACUUCGUAAUGCAGGGCUCAUCGAAGCACUGAGAUCAAAUUUGUUUGACACUUGGUCGAGUGUGCGCUGAAAAGGGGGCUCAGGGGAAUUUAGCCGGGGUAUAUCAGCGCUAUUUCUGUCAUGGAUAUUUGGAGAACGAUCAUCACAAAAUGAUGAUUGAACAGGUAGAUUUAGCAUGGCUGCCAAACUAUUCUUUUUUGAUUUUGAGGUGCUCAAAAGUACAAUGUUUUCGUAGUAAGCUAUCUUGUCCCGUGCCUCCCUGAGCUGAUAAUCGUACUCAUCUAAUUGCCUUUUCAACAAGGCAUUGCUCUUUCUACUAGAAGCGAUAGUUUCGUCGGCUCCCUGUUGCUCCUGACUAAUAAUAUUGAUUUUCUCUUUUAGUUCAGAUAGUUCCGAAGUCAACUGUGAUAUUUCCAUUUCAUACUUAGCCGAGGUCUUCUUGAUAGACUCUAGUGCACCUUGGCGGUCUUCUAAAAUAUUAUUUCGCAUUCGCUUUUCGUGAACUUCAUUGAGGAGAGCAAUUUUCUCUUCUUCUAAAAGUUCCUUGUCUUUUUCUAACUCCUGGUACUUUUUCUCGAGCUCAGAAGAAGCAAUUCUUAGCCGCUCAAAUUCUUCUACAAAUUGAGUGUGAGACUGUUCAUUCACGCGCGUCUUCUUUAAUUGUUUUUUGUAUUCUUUAAUCAGCCUUUCUUUCUCUUCAAGUUUUUCUAAAGUUAUAGCGCGAAGAGAUUCGGACGUAAAUAGUUCAUCUUUGAGUCUCCUGCAGGUCUGAUCCAAUUGAUCGAUUUGAUUCCGAAGUUCUGCCAUAACUUUCUUGGACUCUAGCAACUUUUCGUCUGAUAAACGUAUCCGAAUGUUAUCGUCGCUCUCAGAAACAUGCGAAAUUUCAUAUUCACGCCAUAUCACCUCUUUAUCUGUUAAAGGAGAAACCUCAGUAGGACCAAUCGAAGCUGGCGCGCUCUCAGUCGAAACUUGGUCUGGCCUCGCAUUGACAUCCAGCACGGAUGACACAACUGGUAUUCCAAAACUGCUCAGGAUUCCACCGAGAAAGUUAUCAAAAUCAAUGUAUCCUCUUCCUUCUUUGUCUAGUCGGUUCAUAACCAUAUCUAUAGAUGGGAUGUUUGCCAUCUGUACGGGGAAUUUCGAGAAAACACUUGAAGUAGAUGAUAUCAACGACUUUAUUUGGUCUGCAUAAAUCUUGUUGUUCGAGUUCACAUCAAGUUGAUCAAAAAGCUUCCUUAAUCGAGCAGUAAAUUCAAAAAUAGUUAUUUGUUCCCCAGCUUGUAAAUGUUCUUCCUUUAGAGAAAUAAAGAUUUGAUUCAGGUGCUCUAACAACUCUUCGGCCAAAGCGCGAUCUUGGUGCACCGGUACCCCAAAAAUUCGAAUCAAGCUCCUAAAAUCCUCUUCGCGAAUGCGUGUCUUACGUUUCCCGGGUUCGUUUUGAGUCAGUGACACAGAACAAAAACGCACUGCCGUGUACGAAAAAUGAGAGGCACCUCGGUAAAUAGAAUCUCAUCGUUGAUUUUCGAAACCAACUGCGGCAAAGAGAGUAGACCAUCUUCAUUCGUCAGUUCAGAACAUGUCUCACGAAACUUCAGU